AGAGGAUCCAAAUCACAGUCGUCAAGGCAUUAGGUCCUGGAUCCAAUGCCUCCCACCAUAAUACAAUGCUGUCUUAAACCAGAUCUUGCGGCUUUACAGACAUUUCGAUACGAAAAGCAGACGGUAUUCCCGAUAGAAAUGGCUUCAGUCUCAAGAACAACUACCAAUAAAAACGGCGUACAGAGGUGUUUUUGCUUUAAAUCUAAAUCGAGACUUUAUAAUCGAGCAACCAACGACAAAGUGGUAUUUAUAAACCGGCGAGGCAUUUUAAAUCACAGGAACCAGUAGCAACUGGGCGCUGGAAAUGGUUCAUUCUGCUUCCGUUCUUAUUUUGUUUUUUUUCCGCCUGCAAUUGCUUUGUUGAAUUAUAAUGUUUUUAGUUAUGGAAAAUUAAUUUUCAGUUGCAUUUUAUCGAACUGCUUAAUAUUUCUGUUAAAUGCUACAAGAAACUAUUUUAACCUCUAAAACAUUUGUCUGUAAUUUAAUAGCAAUAAAAAACAUUUCUAUUGACAGUAAUGCAUGACCUUAUUGCACCUAGCGCUGGCUUAACGCAACAUUUAUCUAAAUUACUUUACCCUCUGUGGCUCUAUAUGGUCGUUAUAGAAAUAUUGCUUUGCAAUUACUGCAGUAUAAAUUAUUUAAAAGGAAAUAAAGCGGUUACAUCUCACUGUUUAGCUAAAGAAUUAC